GUACUCGCUUCGGCGGUACAUAUACUAAAAUUGGAACGAUACAGAGAAGAUUAGCAUGGCCCCUGCGCAAAGAUGCCACGCAAAAUCGUGAAGCGUUCCACAUUUUU
rnacentral:snRNA from 1 species